rnacentral:rRNA from 1 species
AUUGAACGCUGGCGGCAUGCUUUACACAUGCAAGUCGAACGGUAACAGGCCGCAAGGUGCUGGCGAGUGGCGAACGGGUGAGUAAUGCAUCGGAACGUGCCCAGUCGUGGGGGAGAACUACUCGAGAGAGUAGCUAAUACCGCAUACGAUCUAUGGAUGAAAGCGGGGGACCGUACGGCCUCGCGCGAUUGGAGCGGCCGAUGGCAGAUUAGGUAGUUGGUGGGGUAAAGGCUCACCAAGCCAACGAUCUGUAGCUGGUCUGAGAGGACGACCAGCCACACUGGGACUGAGACACGGCCCAGACUCCUACGGGAGGCAGCAGUGGGGAAUUUUGGACAAUGGGCGCAAGCCUGAUCCAGCAAUGCCGCGUGCAGGAAGAAGGCCUUCGGGUUGUAAACUGCAUUUGUACGGAACGAAACGGCUCUGGUUAAUACCCGGGGCUAAUGACGGUACCGGAAGAAUAAGCACCGGCUAACUACGUG